CGGAAAGACCCCGUGGAGCUUUACUGUAGCCUGAUAGUGAAUUUUGGUACAGCUUGUACAGGAUAGGUAGGAGCCUUAGAAGCCGGAGCGCUAGCUUCGGUGGAGGCGUCGGUGGGAUACUACCCUGGCUGUAUUGAAAUUCUAACCCACAUCCCUUAUCGGGAUGGGAGACAGUGUCAGGUGGGCAGUUUGACUGGGGCGGUCGCCUCCUAAAGAGUAACGGAGGCGCCCAAAGGUUCCCUCAGAAUGGUUGGAAAUCAUUCGUAGAGUGUAAAGGCACAAGGGAGCUUGACUGCGAGACCUACAAGUCGAGCAGGGACGAAAGUCGGGCUUAGUGAUCCGGUGGUUCCGCAUGGAAGGGCCAUCGCUCAACGGAUAAAAGGUACUCCGGGGAUAACAGGCUGAUACCGCCCAAGAGUUCAUAUCGACGGCGGUGUUUGGCACCUCGAUGUCGGCUCAUCACAUCCUGGGGCUGAAGUAGGUCCCAAGGGUAUGGCUGUUCGCCAUUUAAAGUGGUACGCGAGCUGGGUUUAGAACGUCGUGAGACAGUUCGGUCCCUAUCUGCCGUGGGCGCUGGAGAAUUGAGGGGGGCUGCUCCUAGUACGAGAGGACCGGAGUGGACGCAUCACUGGUGUUCGGGUUGUCAUGCCAAUGGCACUGCCCGGUAGCUAAAUGCGGAAGAGAUAAGUGCUGAAAGCAUCUAAGCACGAAACUUGCCCCGAGAUGAGUUCUCCCUGAGACUUUAAGUCUCCUGAAGGAACGUUAAAGACGAUGACGUUGAUAGGCCGGGUGUGUAAGCGCAGCGAUGCGUUGAGCUAACCGGUACUAAUGAACCGUGAGGCUUAACCUU
rnacentral:rRNA from 1 species